UCCAUCAAUGCAAUUCUCUGAGUUUCCAACGAUUCCUUAUGAGCUAUUGAGUUGUUUUGGAUAUGGGUAUUAAAACUUUGCUCUCAUGUAGUCGUGUUAGCACAUAUGUUGCAGUCAGAUGAAACAGGUUACAUACUAUUUUUUGUACUACUUUAUCUAUAACUGUUAUAUUUUUAUAGAUAAAAUAUUUUUUCACGCGCAUGUUAGCCACGUCAUUCACUUUUACUAUUUUUCCACGCGCAUGUUCACUUGCUGAUUCGUCUAAGAGGGAGUUUGACGAUAUAUCCCCACCCUCAUCUGUUACUUUCUUAAUUUCCCCAACAAUAAUACUAUAUUUAUUAGAAUGUCCCACAUUGAUUGGAAUUAAUAUCUUUGAGUAUUAUAUAAAGAAUGUGGCAAUCCUUAACUUUUGAGCUAGCUUUUGGGUUAAGUUACGCCACAUUUCUAAUAUGGUAUCAGAGCAAGGUUGGCUCAACAAGCAAAUUCCCACAAAAAUGGUUUCCCACCUAUGUAGCCCAUACAAGUGGCAUGUCUUGUUAUAUUUCCGAGAUGUUGGGCUUGGACUGUUUCCCGUUGGACCGUUUCCCACCCACAUCUCGAAAAGGCCUAUUAGAAUGUUCCACAUCGAUUGGGAUUAAAAUCUUUGGGUAUUAUAAAAAGUAUGUAGCAAUCCUUUAACUUUUGAGCUAGAUUUUAGGUCAAAUUAAACCACAUUUCU
rnacentral:sRNA from 1 species